AUUGAACGCUGGCGGCAUGCCUUACACAUGCAAGUCGAACGGUAGAGUAGCAAUACUUGAGAGUGGCGAACGGGUGAGUAAUAUAUCGGAACGUGCCCAGUCGUGGGGGAUAACGUAGCGAAAGCUACGCUAAUACCGCAUACGAUCUACGGAUGAAAGCGGGGGAUCGCAAGACCUCGCGCGAUUGGAGCGGCCGAUAUCAGAUUAGGUAGUUGGUGAGGUAAAGGCUCACCAAGCCGACGAUCUGUAGCUGGUCUGAGAGGACGACCAGCCACACUGGGACUGAGACACGGCCCAGACUCCUACGGGAGGCAGCAGUGGGGAAUUUUGGACAAUGGGCGCAAGCCUGAUCCAGCAAUGCCGCGUGCAGGAUGAAGGCCUUCGGUUGGUAACGUAGCUUUGUUACGAACGAAACGGUAGAGCUCUAA
rnacentral:rRNA from 1 species